GAAUCAAAACUUUCAACAACGGAUCUCUUGGUUCUGGCAUCGAUGAAGAACGCAGCGAAAUGCGAUAAGUAAUGUGAAUUGCAGAAUUCAGUGAAUCAUCGAAUCUUUGAACGCACAUUGCGCCCUCUGGUAUUCCAGAGGGCAUGCCUGUUCGAGCGU
rnacentral:rRNA from 1 species